AUUGAACGCUGGCGGCAGGCCUAACACAUGCAAGUCGAGCGAGCGGCGGACGGGUGCGUAAUGUAUGGGGAUCUGCCCGAUAGAGGGGGAUAACUACUGGACACGGUGGCUAAUACCGCAUACUAUCGGAUGAACCCAUAUGGGAUUAGCUAGUAGGUGGGGUAAAGGCUCACCUAGGCGACGAUCUCUAGCUGGUCUGAGAGGAUGAUCAGCAACACUGUAACUGAGACAAGGUCCAGACUCCUACGAGAGGCAGCAGUGGGGAAUAUUGCACAAGGGGCGAAAGCCUGAUGCAGCCAUGCCGCGUGUGUGAAGAAGGCCUUCGUGUUGUAAAGCACUUUCAGCGAGGAGGCGUUACUCGCAGAAGAAGCACCGGCUAACUCCGUGCCAGCAGCCGGGGUAAUAC
rnacentral:rRNA from 1 species